CUGGAGGUCACUUUCAUCGCCAUCUUGGUUUUGGUGGGUUUUGGACAGCUUCUUUACGCAUGCUGUUUUAUCAGCAAGGUCUUUGUGACCUGUAUCUUGUGCCGACCUCCUAUCUCAUCCUGUGACUAGGAAUGCCUUAACCUCCUGGAAUGCAGCUCAGAAAUUUGGGUGCAGACAGGCACACAGGGAGAACACCAUGUCAACACGAAGGCAGAAGUUGGAGUGAUGAGUCUACAAGCCAAGGAUUGCCAGCAAUUCAUCAGAGGCCAGGACAGCAGCCUGGGGCAGCCCCCUACAUGGUACCAACUCCAUCAACACCUUGAUCUCAGACUUCCAACCUCCAGAACUGUGUGAGAAUUCAUUUCUAUUCUUUAAGCCACCUAAUUUGUGGCACUUUGCUUUGACAGUUCUAGCACACAGGGUGAUUGAGGAAGCGUGCUAGGAAGAGAGGAAGCAGGGGUCCUAGAGUGGGCGGCAUGCCUUGCAGCCGUGGAGGCCACACAGCUGUGGGAAAUGACAGGGUCUGCAAUCACGGUGAUGAAAGGGGAAGGACCAGAUUGUGAGAGGAAAGGUCAGUAGGGAACUGAGAGACCAGGAUAAUGGAGGGACAAUCCAUGUGUAAGUUGAACUUGCCCAGAGUUAAGACAGGAAGAGGAAUGCAAUGGUGAGGCAGGAACACUGAGGAACCAGGGGGAAUGACUUCAGGAUGACAGAUGUCACAAAAUGAGAAGUCAGGUGACAUAACCUGAUGACCUGAGAUUCAAUGCAGGACACUUUUAGGAAAGAGAAAGAGGUAAUGAUGCAGAAGUGGCAAUGAGGAGUGUAAAAGAAACGCACCCCACCUCCAGGCCCCAUGGCACAACUGGAGGGAGCAAACCACAGCCACCACGGGACAAGGAGAAUAACGACAGAAUCAGAAGGCAGUGUUCCCAGAGGACAGCCAUGUUUUCAUCAGAGUGAGAUGGUGCUGGAAGAGUCAGAGCCAAGGUUGACACUAUUGGGUUUUGCUAAUAAUGGACUGUGAGUUCCAGCAGGGCCCAAAAGGGGCUUCAGGAUUGGGCAAGGGUAGAUGUCCUCCUCUAGUCCAUGACCAAUGCUGAUCCACACUGGACUAAUUACUUCCCUGAUUCCAAGCUAGUAGAUGGGUAGCAGUAAAUGUUCCAUCUCCAGCUGUACUCACCUUGUUGACUUUAUUUUCUAACUGUAGCUAAUUCUGUCCCAGGACCUGGCUAUUACACAGGCUGAAGCAGCAGUUAGCUCCUCUUUUCUUUGGGACCCACAGAAAUCACAGCAGCUGUGUUGUUGUGGGGUUUCUUGGCGUUUGUUUUGGUUUGGUUUGUUUUUUUUGCCAGUAAUUUUUUUCCCAGAAAGGCAUUCUUUCUCUUCACUGCAGUGGAAGUGAGAGAGGGAGAGAGGGUGCAGAGAGGGAGAGGGCAAGUAAUCAGAUUCCAAGAUGACCAUCUCCCCAGAAGGCUUUCACUAUUCCUCAACAUAUGGCAUCAUUUUAGCAUCCUCAGCUCUGUUAGUUUGAGGGUAACCUCAGCAAACAUGCCCCUCUCAUGAGCAAGGUAUGUGGUUUGACAAGCAGACUGUGACUUUUGUGAUUAGAAAAAAGCAUCCUUCCUCCUGGUGAAUGCAGGCCAUGUCAGGCCAGCCCUCCAUGAAUGAGGAACUUCCUGGGGCCACUAGUGCAUGCUGCAGCUCACACAGUCAACUCCAUCCACACCUCCACAAACAGCUGCCCUUUGGCCACUACUCAGGCGUAAGGACACACCCAGCAGGGUAUGCCCUCUGGAGGUCAG
rnacentral:lncRNA from 10 species